GUCUUUGGAGGCUGAGUGGUAAAAGCACUUGGCUUCCGAACCGGGAGUCCCUGGUUCGAAUCCUGGUGAAGAUU
rnacentral:tRNA from 1 species